GUCGUCAGCUCGUGUCGUGAGAUGUUGGGUUAAGUCCCGCAACGAGCGCAACCCUUAUUGCUAGUUACCAUCAUUAAGUUGGGGGACUCUAGCGAGACUGCCAGUGAUAAACUGGAGGAAGGUGGGGAUGACGUCAAAUCAUCAUGCCCCUUAUGACCUGGGCUACAAACGUGAUACAAUGGCUGAAACAAAGGGCAGCGAAGCAGUGAUGUGGAGCGAAACCCAAAAAGCAGUCUCAGUUCGGAUUGAAGUCUGCAACUCGACUUCAUGAAGUUGGAAUCGCUAGUAAUCGUAGAUCAGAACGCUACGGUGAAUACGUUCUCGGGGUUU
rnacentral:rRNA from 1 species